UACCCGCAGCACAAGUGGUGGUCAUUAUUAUUGGGCCUAAAGCGUCCGUAGCUUGCUUGCUAGAUGCCUGGGUAAAUCGAUGCGCUCAACGUAUCGAAUUCCGGGUAGACCGGCAAGCUCGAGACCGGGAGAGGUGUAGGCUACUCGAGGGGUAGGGGUAAAAUCCUGUAAUCCUUCGGGGAGGACCAGUGGCGAAGGCGCUACACUAGAACGGCUCUGACAGUGAGGGACGAAGCCCUGGGGCGCAAACCGG
rnacentral:rRNA from 1 species